UGAGAAUCGUGAUUAGUCACCACUGCAAGAAAAUGUCAUGACAUUCAAUGAGAGCACUCUUUCCAGGAAACACACACUCACAAACAUGAGUAACCAGUUUUAAGUAACGUGUUUGAUGUUUUGCAUAUUGCUUUCCUUAGAUGUACAUCAUUGCUGUGCCUGUUGACAUAAAUAUGGAUCAAAGCAAGAAGCCUUUCGUGUUGAAUAUCAGCAUGCCUGAGAAGUAACACACAACUGGAUGAGGUCCUUCUCUAGUCUGUCUAGGAUCUGGAAAGAAGUAGGAUGGGAAGCUAAAAACCAGGAGGAGGAGGAGGAGGAGAGUUCUAUGUGUGGAAUGCUCCAAACCCAGGGCUGGUGUUGCGACUCGUCCCAGACUCUGUGCCGUCACCGCUGGGGUCUGUGGCCAGACCUCCGUAUGCCAGACCUGCUGGCUCCAGAUCCCGCCCAGGCCAGUUUAGCUGCAGUGCAGGACCCAUAAUUACAGCACGACACACUACUCCCCCCCUCCACUCCCUUCUCUCUUACUGUUAAAAAGUGCAGAAGAAAGAGAGAUGUACUGCUUAAUAGGAAUAUGAUGCAGUGUAAAAUUUAUAUACAAGCUAGCAGGAACUAUAAUGUGAAUGGGGUGAGACAGGGCAAGAAAAGAUAUGGUGUGGUUUUAGGAUCUACUAAAAACUUGUUUGAGGAAAACUUUACUACAGAGACAUGAAGCAGAGUGAGAGAGAGAGAGAGUGAGAGAGAGAGAGAGAGAGAGAGAGAGAGAGAGAGAGAGAGAGAGGCUGAAGGCAAGCAGCUGAUAUACAUACAUGCCAAGAAGUUCAUAACACAACAUUAUUCUAUUCUCAAAUCAGAAGGUGAUUAUUUUCUAUAUCAGCAGCUCUUAUAUUAAUGCACUCGCG
ensembl:lncRNA